CUUCUACUCCCUCCGUCCAACAAAGAAUGUCUCAACUUUGACUAAAUUUAAAUGCAUUCAUACACUGAGAAAUGUCUAAAUACAUCCAAAUUUUGACAAACUUGAGACAUCUUUUGUUGAUGGAGGGAGUAUUGG
rfam:Brachypodium distachyon strain Bd21 chromosome 4, whole genome shotgun sequence.